AGUAAACUGCAGAAGUCAGAUGCUGGGACAUACCGGUGUGGAGUGGGCGGCUUUAUGUAUCAUGACGUGGAUGUCACAGUUGUGGGCGAUGAUGAAAUUACCACUUCUGUUUUGAAGACGACUACUCAGCCCGCUGUGACAGAUCAUACAGGUGAGAGGUUUGUGAUGUCCCCC